GAGGAAUAUUGGGCAAUGCCCGCAAGGGUGACCCAGCAACGCCGCGUGGAGGAUGAAUGUCGUAAGAUUGUAAACUCCUGUUAGAGGGGAAGAAUAGUACCGGUUGGACCGGUAUAUGACUGUACCCUCAGAGAAAGCCCCGGCUAACUACGUGCCAGCAGCCGCGGUAAUACGUAGGGGGCAAGCGUUGUCCGGAUUUACUGGGUGUAAAGGGCGCGCAGGCGGGAUAAAAAGUCAGUGGUGAAAUCCUACAGCUUAACUGUAGAACUGCCUUUGAUACUUUUAGUCUUGAGUUCGGGAGAGAGAGACGGAAUUCCAGGUGUAGUGGUGAAAUACGUAGAUAUCUGGAAGAACACCAGUUGCGAAGGCGGUCUCUUGGUCCGACACUGACGCUGAGGCGCGAAAGCGUGGGGAGCAAACA
rnacentral:rRNA from 1 species